rnacentral:rRNA from 1 species
CCUACGGGGGGCAGCAGUAGGGAAUAUUGCGCAAUGGGGGAAACCCUGACGCAGCAACGCCGCGUGGAGGAUGACACUUUUCGGAGCGUAAACUCCUUUUGUUAGGGAAGAAUAAUGACGGUACCUAACGAAUAAGCACCGGCUAACUCCGUGCCAGCAGCCGCGGUAAUACGGAGGGUGCAAGCGUUACUCGGAAUCACUGGGCGUAAAGGACGCGUAGGCGGAUUAUCAAGUCUCUUGUGAAAUCUAGUGGCUUAACCACUAAACUGCUUGGGAAACUGAUAAUCUAGAGUAAGGGAGAGGCAGAUGGAAUUCUUGGUGUAGGGGUAAAAUCCGUAGAGAUCAAGAAGAAUACUUAUUGCGAAGGCGAUCUGCUAGAACUUAACUGACGCUAAUGCGUGAAAGCGUGGGGAGCAAACAGGAUUAGAUACCCGGGUAGUC